UUGAUUUUCCCCUUAUGUUUCCUUGUUUAGAUUGAUUGUAUUGAACCUCAGUUGAAUUGAAUUGAAUUUAGAAAGAUAAGACUUAAAACUUGGUUCACUCGGACUUAGAUUGAAAGGUUAAGGCCGCAGAUCAGUUUGGGCUUAAGAGCCGGGAUCGGGUCUUACAAGUCAGUAUCAGAGCAUGCUUGAUUCUAGGAUUGGUUUGGGUUAUGUGUUCACCACACGUCCGGCUGCUUGGUCUCACGGGUUGUUUAGCGGUUUGGUUAUGACCGGCCAAGUCUAGGGACGUGUCCCUUGGACUGAACCAACACAACCCUUCGUGUAUAAUCAGAAAGAAGAGAAAGGGCCGGAUAGAAACAAGAAGAGGAGAAGCGGUUAGGUCUAAUGGAACGACCAGAGCCGCGGUCUAAUCACAAGGACCGUCCGUUCGGUCUGAUGGAGCCAUAGCCCACCACGUAUGUUCUGAACCGUGUCAGGUUUCUCCAUGCUCUUCUCCUGCUCUCAGUCUCCCAUACUUUAUCAGAGGUUGCUUCACAAACGAUCAGAUCGCCCGAAACCUAACCACCACACAAUCGGCCUUGCUUUGGCCGGAAACUCUCUCUUUCUUUCUUUCUCUCUCUCUAUGAUUUUUCUGAGUAUUUUACUCUGGAAUUGGAUGAUUGAAAUCGACAGAGAGGACCCCAUAUUUAUAGAAAACGAGGGGGUAAGUCUUGCCCCACGAACAGGCAUGACUGGCCAGCGGAUGGGCACAAUCGGCCAAGGGUUACACCCUCUCGGCCGAAUGCGUCCCUUCGCCAAUGCCGCAUGGGAUUGGGUCGGACAGAGGCCCAAGGCCUUACCCAAUCCCUCUGGACUUAGUCCACGGCCUUAUCCCAAGCCCCAACGGUCCAUGGCCUCAUGGCCGGACCCCCAUGUCCUGCCACCAGCCCGGACCCGGACCAUCGGACCGAAACCCGAACAGUCCGUCCAGCUGAGAUUAGCUGACUCCCAGCGGUCUCAGCUGAGUGGGCUAGUAGUUCAGCUAGUGGAGCUGACUUAGUAGUGGCCGAGCUGGAGUGAGCUUAACCUAACUCCGUUGAGCUGGUCGAGCUACUUGUUCCAUCCGUCCAGCUACCGUCUUACUCGUCCUAGCUGACUCUCGACUUGUAUAAGGUUAAGUUUAAGUUUCAUUACGUCCUUAACGUUUCCUCGAACCAUGGCCGUCCCAAUGAUCCUAUUCAGGAUCCGGGAUGUUACAACGUCGGCGGGAAUUUUGGAAAGAGUUAUCUUUCCUGUUUAAGAGCCUGCCCACCCUGGAAACGGCUCAGCCGGAGGUAGGGUCCAGCGUCUGGAAGAGCACCGCACGUUGCGUGGUGUCCGGUGCAUUCCCAGCGGCCCCUGAAAAUCCGGAGGACCGAGUGCCGCUCACGCCUGUUUGUACUCAUAACCGCAUCAGGUCUCCAAGGUGAACAGCCUCUGGUCGAUGGAACAAUGUAGGCAAGGGAAGUCGGCAAAAUGGAUCCGUAACUUCGGAAAAAGGAUUGGCUCUGAGGGCUGGGCUCGGGGGUCCCAGUUCCGAACCCGUCGACUGUUGGCGGGCUGCUUGAGCUGCUAACUUGGUGAGAGCGGAACGCCUCGUGUCGGCCAGGGGGCGGACUGGGAACGGCUCUUUCGGGAUCUUUCCCCGGGCGACGAACAGCCAACUCAUAACUGGUACGGAUAAGGGGAAUCCGUCUGUUUUAUUAAAACAAAACUAUGACUCUCUUAAGGUAGCCAAAUGCCUCGUCAUCUAAUUAGUGAUGCACAUGAAUGGAUUAACGAGAUUCCCACUGUCCCUGUCUACUAUCCAGCGAAACCACAGCCAAGGGAACGAGCUUGGCAAAAUCAGCGGGGAAAGAAGACCGCUACUUUUAUCGUUAUUUUACUUACUCCGUGAAUCGGAGGCGGGGUAACAACCCCUCCUUUUAGACCCAAGACUCGCUUCGGCGGGUCGAUCUGGGCGGAGGACAUUGUCAGGUGGGGAGGCACAUCUGUUAAAAGAUAACGCAGGCGUCCUAAGAUGAGCUCAACGAGAACAGAAAUCUCGUGUGGAACAAAAGGGUAAAAGCUCGUUUGAUUUUGAUUUUCAGUACGAAUACGAACCGUGAAAGCGUGGCAGCUAAGCGUUCAUAGCGAGGUUGCUUUUUGAUCCUUCGAUGUCAGCUCUUCCUAUCAUUAUGAAGCAGAAUUCACCAAGUGUUGGAUUGUUCACCCACCAAUAGGGAACAUGAGCUGGGUUUAGACCGUCAUGAGACAGGUUAGUUUUACCAUACUGAUGCCCACGUCGCAAUAGUAAUUCAACCUAGUACGAGAGGAACCGUUGAUUCGCACAAUUCGUCAUCGCGUUUGGUUGAAAACCAGUGGCGCGAAGCUACCGUGCGCUGGAUUAUGACUGAACGCAUCUAAGUCAGAAUCUGGGCUAAAAGCGACGCAUGCACCCGCCGCCCGAUUGCCGACCCUCAGUAGGAGCUUCGGCUCCCAAAGGCACGUGUCGUUGGCUAAGUCCGUUCGGCGGAAGCGCUGUUCGGACCGCCUUGAAUUAUAAUUACCACCGAGCGGCGGGUAGAAUCCUUUGCAGAUGACUUAAAUAGGCGAUGGGGUAUUGUAAGUGGCAGAGUGGCAUUGCUGUCACGAUCCACUGAGAUUCAGCCCUUUGUCACUAAGAUUUAACCCUCCCCC
rnacentral:rRNA from 1 species